rnacentral:rRNA from 1 species
CAGGUUGUAAACUGCUUUUAUACGGGAAGAAACCCUGAACGUGUUCGGGGCUGACGGUACUGUAUGAAUAAGCAUCGGCUAACUCCGUGCCAGCAGCCGCGGUAAUACGGAGGAUGCAAGCGUUAUCCGGAUUUAUUAGGUUUAAAGGGUGCGUAGGCGGAAUAAUAAGUCAGUGGUGAAAUCUGCAGCUUAACUGUAGAACUGCCAUUGAAACUGCUAUUCUUGAAUCUAGUUGAGGUGGGCGGAAUGUGUCAUGUAGCGGUGAAAUGCAUAGAUAUGACACAGAACACCGAUUGCGUAGGCAGCUCACUAAACUACAAUUGACGCUGAGGCACGAAAGCGUGGGGAUCAAACAGGAUUAGAUACCCUGGUAGUCCACGCCGUAAACGAUGAUUACUCGAUGUGUGCGAUAUACCGUAUGCGUCUGAGCGAAAGCAUUAAGUAAUCCACCUGGGGAGUACGAUCGCAAGAUUGAAACUCAAAGGAAUUGACGGGGGCCCGCACAAGCGGAGGAACAUGUGGUUUAAUUCGAUGAUACGCGAGGAACCUUACCUGGGCUUAAAUGCAGAAUGACUUUUCUGGAAACAGAUUUUCUCUUCGGGGCAGACUGCAAGGUGCUGCAUGGUUGUCGUCAGCUCGUGCCGUGAGGUGUCGGGUUAAGUCCCAUAACGAGCGCAACCCCUAUUAUUAGUUGCCAGCGGGUAAUGCCGGGGACUCUAAUAAGACUGCCAGUGUAAACUGUGAGGAAGGUGGGGAUGACGUCAAAUCAGCACGGCCCUUACGUCCAGGGCUACACACGUGUUACAAUGGCCGGUACAAAGAGCAGCUACUUAGCGAUAAGAUGCUAAUCUCAAAAACCGGUCUCAGUUCGGAUCGAAGUCUGCAAUUCGACUUCGUGAAGCUGGAUUCGCUAGUAAUCGUAGAUCAGCAAUGCUACGGUGAAUACGUUCCCGGGCCUUGUACACACCGCCCGUCAAGCCAUGGAAGCUGGGGGUACCUAAAGUUCGUAACCGCAAGGAGCGACCUAGGGUAAAACUA